rnacentral:lncRNA from 1 species
ACGUUGAGAAGCAAGCUAAGGGAAACUGGGAUAUUAAGGUUGAGGCCUAAGACGUUUGCUCUGAUAGCGGUGCAAAGGCAAGCGGCAGCUUCAAGGUCAACGAGACCAUUGAGAAGGGAACAACAUGGCAUCACUGGGGGUGAACCAACAGUGACAUUGACUAAGCUAAGCACAUUGGCACAUACACCUAAUUUAAGAGCAUCCCUGGGGCACCUACCUCGUGCAGAUGGAGUGGGGUGGGGGUAGGAUUAGAGCCGGAAGAAGAGCAAGAUCGACAAGUAGCACUGACUAGGGAAAAGAAAAGAAUGUUGAGUGCUAAAAAGAGGGCCAUGGAAGCUGAUCUUUUUGAAGCCAUUUUGGUCUUCUCUUAAAACCCUAGUGGCUUGCUUUCUUAGCUUUAGAGUUAAAAAAGUAGAAGGGCGUGUUUGGUUCGCCGUAUUACCCAAUCCAUUACGCCCCGAUUACGCGCGUAUUACAUUACGCCCCCUAAUCCGGCGUUUGGUUCGCUGUAUUAGCCAUUAAGCGCGUAUUACAUUACGCCCCUAAUCCCCAAAUUCCCGUGUUUUACAAUCCGUUCCCAAAUCGUUGUAUUAGCCAUUACGCCCGGCCUCCCUCCCCAUCUCUCUGUUUUACCCUCCCUCCCUACCCGACCCUCUCCUCUUCCGUCCUAAUCAUUUUCUCCUCCCAUUUCCCACUGAUUCCGUUGAUUAAUCUGUCGUCAUCGUUUCUUCUCGUCUCGGCAUCAAAUUUCCCUUCCCCAUUUCCUCCCAACACUAUCUGCUCCGCACACCAAAACCCUCUCUUUUUCUCUUCAAUAUAUUCACAAAAUUGGAAAUUCUAGCUUAAUCCAUUGAAGAAAGAGUGAAGCGUUUUUUCUUUGAUUUUUCCAUUCUUUUUAACACUAUUACGCCUCUAUUCCAUUACAUUCAACCAAACAGUUGAUUUGCUAUUACACCUCUAUUCCAUUACACCUCUAAUCCAAUACACCUCUAAUCCAAUACACCUCUAAUCCAAUACAGCGAACCAAACGUGACCGAAGUGUUUGAGGAUGGAGAGCUUGGAGCAAAGGGAGGUGGUUUUAUAGUGUUAACAAGAAGGGCUAGUGGAUGUUUUUUUAAUGCUAGGCUAAUUCAUCAAAUUGUAAAAUAAAAUCAAUUAGAGGUGGCUGGUGAAGUUUGGAUGUUUGUGAUGAUCGUGAGGUGGAACUAAUUAACACAUUGUGCCAUGGUUCACGAAGAAUUAAUGACCGUUAAAUCUUGCUUGUUUUAGUUUUAAUCUACACUACAUUUAUGUAGAUUUUUUUUUAUAGAAUCAAAGUUUACUAAAUAUAUGUUUUAUGGUACUGAGCAAUUAAAUAAAUGGUAAAUUACCUCUAAAGUUACUAAAUUAUCAAUAAAUUUACGUUUUGGUCACUCAACUUCAAAGAAUUAUAAAAUGAUCAUUGAACUAUUCAAAAAAAUUAUUUAAGUCAAUGGUUUGUUAAGUUUUUAUUAUUAUUUAAGUUUAACUAGCAAGCUCUAAGCAACGAUUUGACGAUUGGUACGAUGGAUCAAUACCCAUCGACGAGUAGAAAAACACCUUAGAUCCAACCUGAUCUGAUGGCUAGUGUCGGAGAUUGGAGAAAAAAGUUGUUUAGAUUUUGAUUCGCUGAUUUAUAACGUUUAAAGUUGUUUCAUUAAAAUGAAAAACUAAACUAUAGAAUAGAAAGGAAAGAAGAGAUUUUAAUUGGUGCAAAUAGUGUGAACGAAAAAAGUCAUCCAAUAGUAAUUUAAUAGCUCAAUGACUUAAAUAAAAACUUUCGAAUAGUUCAGUAACUAUUUUAUAACUUUUUAAAAUUGAGUGACCAAAACAUAAACUUACUAAUAAUGUAAUAACCUUGGUGUAGUUUACCCUUAAGUUAAAUGAUUGGUUUGCAUUUAAUGUAUUAUUAAGGUAUAAAUUUAAUCCAUGUGUUUUAAUCUCAUUAAUAGUUGAACAUAUCGGUAAAACAAAUAAUUACUGAUUAAGGAUUUUACCUUAUCAAUGAUGAUUAAGGAUAAAAUAAAUUUUUAUCUACUUAAUAAUCAUAUAUUAUCAUAUAGUUAAGUAUCGAAACCUGCUAAUCAUCUAUUGUUUUGUGGACAUAUAAACUAAUUUCCAGAAGACUCUCCUCCCAUAAUUGAAUUUUUUUAAUAAUUUUACUAUAGAUUCUGAUUAUAUCUGUUAUUUUUAACACAAUACUUAGAACUAUUUAUAGUCUCCCCCAAUCCAUAAAUAAAAGGAUAAUGCGCUUCAGCGCACUCAAUCGGCCACAGUUUAAAAAAUACUAAAUAAAUAAAGAAUAUAUGAGUUAUAAGUAAAAGGUUAUUUCAUACCACAAUAAUGGGUUCACGGGUUUGAUUUGGUGCUUAAGAAGAUUCUUUAUCCAAACUAUAGGUUUAAGUUUUUAUAUAUACAUAUUAGUUGUUUUAAUUUGGUGUUUUAUGGUCUUCCACCUUUUAUUUGUUUGUUUAAUUUGUUUCUAACUUUUUGGUUAUUUCUUAACCUUUGAAUUUUAUUAAUAAAUUUUUUUGGCUGACUAAAAAAAGGACAUUCUCCGAUUUCAACCGUAGAAGAAAGUAAUAUAAAUGAAAAAUUCAAGUUAAUUUUUAAUUUUAUGAUUUUAUGGUUUAAUUUAAUUAAAGGUUGUUUUUUAAAAAAAUGGUUUAAUUUAUAUGGUAAUAAUUGUUUUAAAAAAUAUAUAUUUAAAUUUUAAUAAACAGAAAUAUAACUAAAAUUAUAUAAAAGUUUGAGUGUUGUUUUUGUAUAAACACUUGGAAUUUGAGAAUUGACAUUUGUUGUAAAUUUUUGGGGAUAAAGCGAUGAAAAUUGACUGAUGUUGAAGUAAUGCUGAUUGAUAUGGGUUGGGUGGACAAUCUAAUUAAUGGCUUCUUUCAAACAGAUCACUACCUAUAGAUCAAUAUGGGUAAUAACUAAAAAGUAAUUAUGGCCUUUAUUGUUCUCCUUUCAGUUUAAUUACUCAAUUUAUAUUUACUUAGGCUUUGACUAAAAAUAUUUUUUAAUUUAAACUUUGAUUUUGAAUAAAAAUAUUUGAUAGGUAAAUCUUAAUUUUAAACCGAAUUCUAACUAGCGUUUGACUUUUGGAGAAAUGUUUUUUAAUAAAGUUUUCUAAUUUAUAACAUUAUGUCUAAAUUGUCAUUUUAUUUUUUAAAAUUGCUUUUUAACAUUAAUGAUAAAUAUUAUCAAAAUUUUUAAAAAUACAUUUUAAAAGUUAUUUUCUACCGUACUUUUCAGCUUUAAUGAUUUUUGUUUUCUUUUUUUUCUAUUCUCUUACUUCAAAACUAUAUUCAAUCUAUAGCUAAUUUAGACAAAUAUUUGCUCCCCAAGGGAAUUCAUACUAGUUACAUAAUUAAAGGAGAGCUCAACCAACAACCAAAUAUAAUAUAUCUUAUCUUAUGAUAAAUUCGAGAGUGUUAAUCAAUAAUUAUAUUAGACAUGAUACGAUCAUGACGUGGGUAAGAAAUAUCAUGUAAUAAAUUUGGGUAAGAAAUAUCAUGUAAUAAAUUUUUAAAAAUAGAUUGAUUGAGUUUUAACUCAAUUGGUAUCGAUAUCAUUGCUAGUACAAUAGGACAUAGGUUCGUGUACGUUGAAGCGCAUUAUCUUUUUAUUUAAGAGUUGGAGGGAUUAUGAUUAGUUUUAGAUAUUGUAUAUAAAAAAUAAAUACUAAGAACUGUGAUGUGGUAAAGUUAAAAUAAUAAAAAAUUAUAAUAUCUUGAUUUAAAUUCCAUAUGUAUUUUUUUAAAAAUUUACAGUUUAAUGUAACAGGUUAUUUUUGCCCAGGCCCAAACCAAACCAAAUAAAAAUAAAAUAAUAACAAUCCAAAUUUACAAUAUGGCCCAAAACAAACAAAAAAAACCUAAAUGCCCAAAAUCCAAAGACCCAAUUACAGGCCCACAACCUAACUAUCUCAGUAAAACUAAAAAACCCUAAUCCCACUUGCGCCGUUGCCCCUGGCCACGUCAACGUUCCUCGUCCCGAGGCCUGACACACCCUUUCUGCCACCAUUUCACCAAAGUAGCAAAGGGUCUGCCCAUCGCCUUCUGUUGACUCUGCCACUUGCAAGAAAAGAGCAAAAAAAGGGACAAAGUCAACGUGCAAGAACAGACGCAAAACAGAAAAAAUAAACAAUGUAAUAUUGGCUAUAAAGGCCACAACAAUCAAUGUAAUUUUUGGGGAGAAAAAUAUACGAAAACAAUAAAAAAAAUCAGAUACAAACUUGAAACAAAGAAAAAGAAGGUGAUUUAUUUUUAUUUUCAGAUUCGAAAGCAAUAAAAUAAUAAUACAAAAUUGUUUACCUGUCUAUCCUUUCAUACCGCCGUCGAGGGGCUUUCCCGAUCCCAAAAGCCGCCAAACCCAUUAGGGUAUCGUCUGGGCUUCGGUGAAAAAGGACGCGAAGGGCGCGCGACAAGAAGGAAAACCAAUUUUUUUAUCCUUUUUUAUUUUUAAAGGCAUUUGCCUUUGGAUUUGGGUUUCUGGGAGUCAAAAGGCAAAAAAGGGGGCUUUUUUACGUUUACCGGCCAUCGGUGGCUGUCGGCGGAGCACUGUGGCUCCUUUGGCUGGACCCGAAGGGUGGCUUGGAGAGAAAGGAGAGGAUUUUAGAAAUUUUUUUUUUAGAAACAUGGAUGAAAUGAUUUUUUUUUUAGAAUUUUUUGGUUUAAAUAGGGCUUGGAAACGGCGCUGUAUUUUAAAUUCUCUUCAAAUCUUCAAUUUUCAACACUAAAGAUAUCAAGUAAUCAACUGGGUACUAAUUUUGAGCGUCUCGAGAGUGCUAAUCAUUUCCGAACCCAUUUUUUGAAUCUUGUAGACCAAAAAUCGUUUUUUCAGUAAAUCAAACCUUUUAUUAAAACGGUCAAAUUACGAGGUGAUUCUGUCACACCUCAUAAAAAAAGAAUUGGUGGCGACUCUUAUUUUUAUUUUUUAAUAAAAAGUCGACUUCGAUAAAAAAAAAAUUCGACACUUAAUAAAACUAAAUAUAUACAAUAAAUCAAAUAGUCAAAGGUUUCGAGGAUAAGCAUGAUUUAUGUCUUGAAUUCUCAGCGUAUUGCAGUUUUGUGGCAAUCAAAAUGUAAAGCAAGUCCAAGGAAUGUUUGCCUUUUUGUGCAGUCAAACAGGCUUUUUUAGUUUCCCAUUUGAGAAUGCUUACAUCUUCCUUACAGUAACGGACCCAGAACUGUACUUCCUAAUGAGUUUCAAUUCGUAUUAUCAAUUGCCAAUGUUACCCAUUUUAUAUUCUAAUCACUAGAUAUCAAUAUAUGAGCUAUGAGUAGUAUCUACAAUAAAAUAAGAAAAAAACCUAAAAGAAUAAAGGAAUAAAUUAUAUUAAGAUGAUAUUAAAAAUUAAGGAUUUUAACUAUCAAUAAAAUAAAACUGUGUCAUUAAUUUUAAGUAUAUAAAAAAAUGAUCACUAUUAUGUCUAUAUAAUCACUACCCUAACUUGAUUAAAUUAUUUAUAAAAUAAUUUAGAAAUUAAAAUUUUUGGGCAGCGAACACAUUCUCUUUUUUACUUUUCUCUCAGGGAUUAACGCAGGUCUUGACUGAUUUGGUUGGGUUUCAGCAAACCUUUGCAUAUAUGUUCUCUCUUGAAUUGUAUGAUGGUUUCUAAUGAAAUAUGUAAAAGUUGUAUUGGUUUCCAAUAAAAUUGAGAUUUCAAAUGAAAGUUGUAUUGUUCGCAAAACAUUUAUAAAAGUUGAUUGAUAAGUUCUUAGUAUGAUACUAAUAUAACUUAUACCCAAAUAACAAAUAUAAAAGUGGUAGACAUAUUUUGCACUAAAUAUGAAAAAGUAAGCACAAACAUUAUAAAAUUAUAUAAAAUUUAUUGCCAUAACUAGAUGCAGAGAUUUUAUAAAUAAAGUGACAAGGAAACAAGAAGUAAGGAAAUAAAACAAGCUGAAUAAUACAAGUCUUUUCAUGUCCCUUAAAGAUACUAAAGUUCCCUAAGAAAAACAUUUGAAGAAAAGUAUUAAACUUAUUCUAUAUCAAUCCCCACAAGGAAAUUUAAACAACAAAGUUACAAAUGAAAACACAGAGUAAAUAAUAGAAAUCAUAACUUUCUAAAAUCAAACACAAACACCAUAAGAAAGACGAUAAAAUAUGUAGGGAACAGUGAUGAUUUAGCAUUGGAAGCCAGUAGGAACGUUCCUUGAACAAACGUUGAGGAGCAAGCUAAGGGAAAUUGGGAUGUUAAGGUUGAUGCCUAAAAUGUUAGCUCUGAUAGCGGUGCAAAGGCAUGCAGCAGCUUCGAGGUCGACAAGGCCAUUGAGAAGGGAACAGCAUGGCAUCACUGGGGGUGAACCAACGGUGACAUUGACUAGGUUAAGCACAUUGGCACAUACACCUAAUUUGAGGGCAUCCCUAGGGCACCUGCCUUGUGCAGAUGGAGUAGGAGUGGGGGUGUUGGGGUUUGGGUUUGGCCUUGGUUUAGGGGUGGGUGAAGAGCAAGAGCCACAAGCACUGACUAGGGAAAAAAAGAGAAUGUUGAGUGCCAACAGGAGGACCAUGGAAGCUGAUCUUUUAGAAGCCAUUUUGAUCUUCUCUCAAAACCUUAGUGGCUUGCUUUCUUGGCUUUAGAGUUAAAAAGGUAGAAGUGUUCGAGGAUGGGGAACUUGGAGUGAAGGAAGGGGGGGUUUUAUAGUGUUUUCAAGAAGGCUAGUGGGUUGUUUUUUUAAUGUUAGGUUAAUUGAUGAAAUUGUAGAAUAAAUAUUAAGCUGACUUGUGAAGUUUGGUUGUUUGUGAUUUGUGAGGUGGAAAUUAACACACUACCAUGUUACCAUUGCUCCUAUAGGAUCAAUAAUAUACGUGGAUCUGUCUUAGCCUAACUCUAAAUGAAUACCCUCUUGUAAUGUCCCAUGUUCUUCCAAUAUAUAAGCAUAAUAGUGACAACUUACAAACCGCUAAGUAGAGACAAAAUGGAUUACAAAUUAAUAAUCUCUCUUUGUCAAACCUUUCAUGUUCUUCUUCAGCCAUUAAACUUAAAAUUUAUUCAACUUCCCAAUGCAAUAAUAAACUUACUAUAAGCAGCUAAUGUAUCCAAAACCAACAUUAAAUAAUGGUUUCUACUUUAACUCAUUUAAUCAAAUUGUUUUCCUUAAAAACCAUCUGGUACAAACCAGUUUGAGAUGCUUCCAUAUUAAUAUUCAAUAAUAUUAUUUUGAGAUUAUUAAUAAUUACUGCCAACCAACCUCCUAUUUUCUUAUUUGGUUCAAAAAUGGAUGCAAAGUGUUGGAGAUAUUGGCAUGUUGCCAAUGGAAGUUGUUAUCGCUGGAUUCGACUGGUAUGUCACGGGCGAACUUUAGAGCCUACCGUGGAUUCCACGCAAUUAGCCCUAUUUCUAACUUAAAAUGGAUGCUUAUGUUUAUAUUCAAAUUGAUAUUUUAAAUAUUAACUAAUUAUCUUUCAUCUCACUUUGAUAGUUCAAGUGAUAAAAUUUAUAAGUAGAUUUCAACUAUUAAGUCUCAUCUUAGAUGAUUUAACACAUCACAACGUUAUUUUAUCUAAACUUAUGGCACUAAGCUACUUACCCCUAGGUUUUUAAUGUAACCCGAUAUGUGGCACCUCAAAAUAGGGCAUGACCUGGGGCCUUAGAACGAGACCAAAUAACUUGAAUCUUUUCUCUUCCUAAUUUAUCUCCAGCAUUAUCAUUUCUUUUUUCGUAAGUUACUUGUGAAGAGUUUAUCAUUUUUGGGCGACCGCCCUUGAACGCGUGCUACAAUCUUCAGCAUUUGACAAAUGUGAUUCCACCAUAUGAGGAAGCUAGAUCGUUGAAAUUGAUUGCUUAAACAAAAGCUAUAAUUUCCUAUGGAGAAUACAAAUAUUCAUCGCAUUCGAACAAAAGGUUAUGAAUAUGUAUACUCCUGUAAAUUCCAAUAACUCUAAAAUAUUUAUUAACGGAGCAGAUUAUUACCACAUUAGGAAGAACAAAAGUAUUUAUCAUUCCUGUCAGUACAUAAUUAUAUAUUUAAAAAGAUAAAUGUUUGAAACAAUAAAAGAAAUUCCUUCAAAAUUAGCAUUUUCUCAAACCAAAAAACUCUUUCAUUAUAGAUAGUAUGAAUCCAUUGAAAAAUCUUCCAAACUUCUCUGCAAAAAUAUAAAAAUAAAUAAAUAAAACAAUAAGAAAUUGUUGUAGAGCAAAAGAAGACCAAAUUGAUUUAUAUAUUCAUUUUUUUUUCUCUUGAAGUUUGACAAAAUUCCAUAAUUGAGUUUUCCAUUUUCAAACCUUUGGAAAAAAAGGAAAGCAAUAUCCAGAAAAUCCGAAGCAAAUAUAACAGCGAUAAUGAAAUAAUUCUUUUUAUAUUACACAGAUUAGUAUGAAGAAAUUAUGUGUAAAAGGUCUGACUUUAAUCAUCGGCUGCAUCAGGUCUGCUUAGUUUGUUCAGUAUUUUGCCAUCCCGUGAAAAAUUAUAUUUAUAAGUUUUUUUUAAUAAACAUAAUAAUUCAAAAAAUAUAGGACAGAAGCAUAAUCGCAACUUCUCUUUUAUUAAUAUUAGAUAUCCAUUAUGAAUGGUGCAAAAUCCAGCAUAAAUAUCAAAUUUAAUUUAGUGUAAUUGUACAUAUAAAAUAUAAGUUGUGAUAUCUAUUUAUACAAAAGAUUUUGUUUUCUUGUUCAAUUAUACAUAUUAGAAAAAUAAAUAUAUACAUUUAUUUUUAUAUCAGAUUAAAAUACUUGUUUGUGCAUGCAAUAUAUCAAUAUAAAAUGGUGCUAACUUAAUAAUAUUGUUAGUGAUUUGUGAAAAAUUGAAUCAAGUCAAAACUUCAUGUAUAAAAUUGCAUAAAAUCAAAGUUUAUGUAUUGUAUAACAUUGCAUACUGGAUCAAAUCAAAAUUAUUUUGUUAAUUUUCUAUUAUGUUAUUAAUAAAUUACAAAAUUAAUCAUUUGGUAGCUUUAACUAUUAAAAUUAUCAAUUUGCGGCUUGCACUUAUUCCAAGUUAUUAUCCUAUUAGUUGUUCAAACAAAAGUUAGAAUAAAAAAAAAAAAAAGACAAUUCUGUAAGAAAAAAGUUCAAUACAAAAUAUUUGUUAACACGGUUAAAAUUCAUCAAUUCAACUUUACGAAGCCUCUCCUAGAAAAUGAUUUUACUGCCCGAUCCCAUUAUUGUCUUAAGCCUAACCUACCCUUACAUAAUGGAUGAUUAUAGUCCCAAAAUCGAACAAAAAUUAUUGCAAUCACUCUUCUAAAAAAACUCGCCAACAACCAAGAAUAUCUCUCCAACAAAUACGAAUCAAAAUGCACAAUAACUCUCGAAUUAUCAAGUAAAAGCACUUGAAAAAACUGCCAACCUGUGCCAAAUCAAUGGCAUAUUUUCAAAAAUCAAAUAGCAAGCCUUCAAACUUUAAUCACCAAUCGUUUCAAACUAUAUUAUCCAUCAAAUUUCUCCAAACAAUUGGGUUAGUUUGAAUUCUUGAAAGAUAAGGAUGGAGUUCACACAUCUUUAAAUUCUUCUUUUCUCUUCAAGAGUAUUAUCCAAUAAAUAACAUUAAGCUUGAUCAUAUCUAGCUUCCUAAAUUACCUACAUUUAUUGCCUAAAUAUACUUUAUAAAAUAAUUACUUAAAUUAUAAUACCAACAAAAAUAUAAAUAAUUUUAAUUGUCACAAACGGCUCUAUAAUAUCACCAUGAAACAUAGUCCACGUAUCAUUAUAAUUUUUAAAUUACAAGAGAAAAAAAUGAUAGCUUUGACCACAGGUUUGGGGAUAACCAUCACUAAUGUGUUGAAUUAUGAGGAUAAUGUGGUUGAAAUCAAAAUGUAAAGCAAGUCCAGGGAAUCUUUGCCUUUUUUGCAGUCAAAUGAGCUUUUUCUAAUGUCCCUUUUUAGUUUCCCAUUUGAGAUUUCUUACAUCUUCCUCAACAAAGUCUCACUCACGGACUCAAAAACUGUGCUUCCUAAUGAGUCUCAACUCAUAUUGUAUUUAUUAAGUUAAAUAUUUGCUAUGAUGUCUAUAAUAAAAUAAUAUAUAUAACAUUAAAUAAAUUGAGAUCGAUAGAGCUUUUGACAGAACAUCGACGACUCUUGAUACAAUGUUGUACCAUUAAUCUAAAAUGAGAUAUUUGAUGUGGAUAAGGAUGGUGCAUGAGAAUUUUCAAUUUUUCGAGGGAUAUUAGUGGUGUUGGCCUGCGAAAUGUAGUUUCUCGAGAAACAUGGCAAACUAGAUUGCUUUCUAUUGGGUUGAGACAGUAGGUGAAAAUCCCAUUGAUUAUUGAAAUUAGUUUGUGUGUUGCUUUGGAGUGGCUGAUGAAUAAGAAUUAUAAAUUGUGGUCAUUUCGAAAUCUAUUUAGUGAUAUUGACUGCGGCAUUAACCAGCUGGAUUGAUUUCAAUUCGCAGUUAUUCACCAGCAGGGUAAAGGUAUGACUGAUGCUCUGACGAAAGCAGAUAUAUUGAGACCUUCGGUUUUUAAGGCCUGGUGGUAAAUUUUGGUUAUUGUCUUUUAGUACUAUUUGAGUGGAGGGUUUUUGUCUUAGGUCGAGUGUUGUAAUCUUGUUGUCUUUAAAAGAGGUUGCUUUCAUCCAACUUUUUUCUCGGUUUGCUAUAUUUUCAAGAAAAAAAAGAAGAAGAAAUAAAACAAGUUGAAUAAUAUAAGUUUUUUUUCAUAUCCAUUGGAAAUACAAUAAACCCUCGUAGAAAAGCACUUAAAAAAGUAUUAGACUUAUUUUAUAUCAAUCUCCAUAAGAAAAUUUAAACAACAAAGUAACUAAUGAUAACAUUGAUGUACCGUAAAUACUGAAUCAUAAUUUUUAAAAACCAAACACAACCACGAUAAGAAAGAUGAGAAAGAAUGUAGGAACAAUGUUGACUUAGCAUUGGAAACCAGUAGGAACAUUCCUUGAGCAAACGUUGAGAAGCAAGCUAAGGGAAAUUGGGAUGUUAAGGUUGAUGCCUAAGAUGUUAGCUCUGAUAGCGGUGCAAAGGCAAGCAGCGGCUUCGAGGUCCACAAGACCAUUAAGAAGGGAACAACAUGGCAUCACCGGGGGUGAACCAACGGUGACAUUGACUAAGUUAAGCACAUUGGCACAUACACCUAAUUUGAGGGCAUCCCUAGGGCACCUACCUCGUGCAGAUGGAGUAGGGGUGGGAGUUGGCCUUGGGUUAGAGCCAGAAGAAGAACAAGAUCCACAAUUAGCACUGACUAGGGAAAAGAAGAGAAUGUUGAGUGCCAAAAGGAGGGCUAUGGAAGCUGAUCUUUUUGAAUCCAUUUUGAUCUUUUCUCAAAACUUGAAUGGCUUGCUUUCUUGGCUUUAGAGUUAAAAGGUAGAAACGUUUGAGGAUGAGGAACUUGUAGUGAAGGAAGGGGGGUUUUAUAGUGCUUCCAGCAAGGCUAGUGGGUUAUUUUUUAAUGUUAGGCUAAUUGAUCAAAUUGUAGAUUAAAAUCAAUUUGACAUCUGGCUGGUGAAGUUUGGUUGUUUAUGAUCUGUGAGGUGGAAAUUAGCACAGUGCCAUGUUAGAAUGCUCCUAUAGGAUCAAUAUGUGAAUCUAUCAUUCACUAAAUUACAUUAUUUGCAACAGUAUUUUCAUUUAAGUAACAAUUCAAAAACAUCAAAUAAUGUUAAGUUUGUUCUUUUAUGAUAAUUAAUUACAUUUCAAUUUCAAUUUAUUUUUUUAUACAUAAAUCUAAUGAAUCAUGAAUAAACUCUGUACAUAUAAUCAAGUGUAAAAGACUCGAUGAAUAACUAUUAAGAGAAAAAAAUAUCAUAAAAAAAUGAUAAAAAAACAAUACAACUAUUACAUUUAAAUUUUAAUGUGAUAGCCUUUCUCAAUAAUAUUGUUUACAAAAUUUAAAUCCAUAUUUUGUUCUUAGAAAUACAAUAUAUCUUACAACAACAUCCGAUACUUAUUAUUGAUGAUAUCAAUUUCUCUUUUUAAGUCUUCUAAACAGCUGUAGUUAAUAAUAUUAUCAUCUUGUUUACUUCAAGUUUAAAUGAAUAUCUCCAUAAUAUUCCAUGUUCUUCCAAAAUAUAAGGACUUACAAACCGCUAAGUAGAGACAAAAUGGGUUACAGAUUAAUAAUCUCUCUUUGUUAAACCUUUCAUGUUCUUCUUCAGCCAUUAGUACCCUCUAAACAGAUUUACUGAACUUCAUUCACAUUAAACUCGUAAUUUAUUCAAAGUUCCCAAGGUUCAACUUAAUUGCACUAAUAAACUUUCUAUAAGGAGCUAAUGGAUCCAAAACCGACAUUAAACAGUGGUUUCUACUUUAGCUCAUUUAAUGGAACUCAAAAGGGUUUUUGUUUUCCUUAAAAAGCACAAGAUUUAAUGGAAACACAGAUCAGUUUGAGAUGCUCCCUUAUUAAUAUUCAAUAAUAUUAUGAGAUUAUUAAUAAUUACAGCCAACCAACCUUUUUUUUCUUUCGGUUCAGAAAUGGCGUAUUGUAGGUGCAAAGUGUUGGAGAUAUUGGCAUGUUGUCUAUGGAUGUUUUGUAGCUGGAUUCGACUGGGAGUGUCACGGGCGAGCUUUAGAACCUACCGUGGAUUCCACGCAAUUACCCCUAUUUCUAAUUAAAAAUGAGCUUCGGUUUUAUGCUUUUAAAUCCAAACUGAUAUUUUAAAUAUUAAUUACUUAUGACUAACAAAUAUAUUUAUUAAUUGUCACAUCAAAAAUUAAUUAUUGUGUCUCAUGUGAUACGACUCAAGACACGUUAUAAGAUCACUUUACCAAAACUUAUGAUACUAGGUCAUUUGUUCUUGACUCGCCAAUAAUAACCCGAUAUGUGGAACCUAAAGACAGGGGACGACAAAUAUAAGGCCUGGCUCUUCCCAAUUUAUCUCCAGCAUCAUCUUCUUCUCUUUCUACUCCGACCACUCUAUUCAAUAACUCAUCCCUUUGUCCUAAACAAGAUGGAUCACAUAUUUCCGCUACCUACUUAUCCUUAAAAGAACUAAUGAAUUAAACUCAUAUUAUAAUACUAAAUUUGAUUAUCUCAAUAAUUUAAUUUCCAAAAAUGUUUUAAUUUAAUAAUUUUUAUAUACUAAGACAUUGUUUCACUGCAUUGUUAAGUAAGAAAAUCAACCUCGUUUAUGAGACCUCGAUCCAAUUUUCGCCAGCUUUGACAUAUUUUGAUAAAUGGGAGCAAAAAAAGUCAUUUUAGGGAAUUAAAAUUAAAUUAUAAAUAUUGAUGAUUGAAAUUUUAUUUUAUUAUAAUUUUAAACCCGAUCUUUUAAGUUUAUUUCCUUUUGGCAAUUGUGAUUCCAUCCAAUGAGGAAGAUCAUUGAAAUUGAUUGCUUAAACAAAAGGAAUAAUUCCAAUGAAUCUAAAAUAUUUAUUAAAGAAAAUUUAGGCUUAUAAACUUAUACAUACAAAGUAAAUUGGUUAGUUCAUAAAUAAUAAUAUUGUGAUUAAACUAGUAGAUUGUACAAGCCCAUUUUUGCCCGGGCCCAUAUCAGAAAAUAAACCAAAUUACAAACAGCCCAUUUUCAAAAUUUUGACCCAAUUACAAGCCCAAAAUCCCCAUGGCCCAAUCAAAUUAACCCAGGCCCAAUACAAUUACAAGCCCAAAACCCAUUUUCAAAAAAAAAGAAAGAAACAGAAAAACCCUAGCUCUAGGUGCGCCGCACCUAGGGCCUUCUGACUCUUCCGAUCCUUGACCUACCAACUGCCACUGCCGCGCGUUUGUCACCGCCAUUGUCCCAUCACCGACGCAUGUCAAUCACCUACAGAAGAAAGAUCAACACGCAAACAGCAAAAAUAAUAGGAAAAAUAGAAAACAAACCGGCUAUAAAAAGCCGAAUUCCCUUCUGUAGUUUCUUCUUUUUUUACAACAAUUAAUGAAAGGAGAUAAAAAAAAACUAAAAAGGUUGAUUCCAAAGUUCUUUUUUGCCUCUGCUCUUACUCUUUUAUUUCUAUCUCCUGUUGUUUGUUUUUUUUACUAUUCUUCUAAACUAAAAAAACAAAACGAAAAGAAAGGAAAAGGGACACUUACUGGUCUUGAAAGCCCGUCGCCGGAGACCACCUUCGGCGUUGGAAUCGGACUGAAAAGGGGUAGGAAAAACCCCUCCUUUUUCGUUUUUUCGGGACUAAAUGGGUAGAUCUUUAGGGGGGUCGAGAAUGGGGUUAAAAACCCACCUUUUCUUGCCAAGGCCACCUCUCACGGCGGAGCCCCGGCGUUGGUAGCCGGCUGUGGUAUCUGACGGAAAAGGGGGAAGAGAACAGAGAGUUCUCUGUUGUUUUUUUAAAUGUAAUGAAAAUAUUUUUUUUUCUUUAUUUUUUGCUAUUUAUGCAGGCCAUCAUAUGGCGCCAUUUUGGGCUUAAGUUUUAUGACCAAAACGACGCCGUUUCGCCUAAUAACCGAAACCCGACCCGAUGGCCCCCAGGAUUCGCGCGUUUCUGCGGUGAAGGGGAUAUUUGCGCAUAUUUCCCUUUCGCUUUUGUGUGGCUUUGCAAUUUGGUCCUGAAAUCCUUUUUUUUUCUUUACAUUUUGCGGUACAAUUUUAUUUUUUGUUUCAUAUUGGUCCAGAUGUAAACGGUGCGUUUUAAAGGACUGGGAAUAAUUUCCCAUGUAGUCCUCAUUUUAUUCCACCGUAUUUCUGUUGGCCUUUUCUUCUUUUCUUUAUUUGCAAUUUAUACUUUUAAAUUUCAUUAAGAUUUCGAUGCGGUCCCUUUCAUAUUUAUUUCAUUCAUUUUAUUAUAAUUUAGACUUCAAAGUUUAUUUUAAUCUCAAUUUGAUCCUUUAUCCAUUUAAUUUUAAGUUAAUUUUAUCUAUUUAUGCCCUUUUGUCCUGUUUUAUUUAUUUAUUUAUCCCUACAUUUAUUUAUUUAUUUAUUUUUCUUGUAUUUAUAGCUUAUUACGUUUUUUUUUUACUUAUACAUUGUAUUAUUAUUGUCAUCAUUCUUAUUAAUGUUUAAUUCAUUUUUAUGUUCUAGUAUUAGAAUAAGCAAUUAAUAUGGUCAUUGUUAUUAUUUGGUGAUUGUUGUUAUAAUUAUGUCAAUAUUAUUGUUGUAUUUUAUGAUUUAUCAUUUACUUUUUUUUAUAUUCUACUAAUAUAGUUACUUUAUGUUAUUUUAAUAUUAUUGUACUUUGCAUUGUAUAAAGUAAAUGUUAAUCCUCGUACGAAAUUUGCAUAAAUUAAAUUUAUAUCUUGUUAAAUAUUAUACUAACUUUUACUCAAAAUUCAAAGAAGAAAAAUUUUCAAAAUAAAGUAAUAUUUUGUAUUUAGAAACUCAAGAAAGUCGCACAUUAACUUACGGGAUUUCGAUUUUCUUAAAAAUUCAAAUACACGUAUCAUUUCAAUCAAAGUUUUAAAUUUUAUCGAGAAUUAACAAAAAAAAAUUGUGUCCUAACUUACGGGACAUAAUCUCUUUAUUAAAACCAGAGAUAAUCAAACUCUUUCAAAAUAAAAUUUUUCGGCAUUUAUUCUCGUAUCGAGAAUUUUAGAUAUCGUGUCUUAACUUACGGGAUGUGAUUCUUUCCUUCGAAUAACGUGAAAAUAUGCUUCUCUCCUUAAAUUUUUUGAAAUUUUAUUACAAUGAUCGUAUUUUAAAUUCUUUUUUUAGUUUUCAAUCUUCGACACUAAGGCAUCAAUUAAUCAAUUAGGUAUCAAUUUUGAGCGUUACGAGGGUGCUAAUCCUUCUUCGUACGUAAUCGAUUGUGGACCAAAAUUGUUGUUUUAAUAAAAUUAAAUCGUUUAUUAAAAAUAAUCACUUUUCAAGGUGAUCCGAUCACACCUUAUCAAAAAAGAUCGGUGGCGACUCUCACAUUCGUUUUCAUUUUUCAAAACCUAAGUCGACCCUGUUUUCAUCCAAAAAAUGGUGUCAACAUAGAUUAUCACCAUUUUAGAAAGAACAAAAAUAAAUGUAACACCCCCAAUCCGUAUCCCUCGCCGGAACCAGAUUACGGAGCAUUACCGGAGUUUACAGAUCAAACAGACAUAAAUUUUAUCAUUUCAUAUAACAUAACAUUCAUGUCAGAAACCAAUCAAACUCUUACAUACUGUCCCUUAUUCGAGCCCUCGAGGCCCAAAAUACGCGAUAGAAAUAAGUCGGACUAAUUUGGAAACUUAGGAAAUUUUUCGAAAUACAUUAAAAAUUUUCAAAGUUACAGGGGUCACACGGCCAAACCACACGCCCGUGUACUGGGCCGUGUGAACAUACUGACUUGCAAACCUUUACAAGCCACAGGGGACACACGGCUGUGUCACCUAACCAUGUGUCACAUGCGACUGAGACAUACGCCCAUGUCUCUGACCGUGUGGAUGAAAAUAUGCUAUUUUAUAAACCAUUUUUCUCACCCAAUUAAGUGUCAACCUACAAUCAAUAUUGUGUAUAUAAACAAGUCAUAUUAUAGCUGUAACACCCCUUACCCGAGACCGUCGCCGGAAUCGAGUACGAGAUGUUAUCCAAUUUAACUUACCAAUUCGGAGCAUAAAAAAAAUUGCUUUUAAAAUUAAAUUCACUGUUCACAACAAAACUGUCUACCUGCGUGACUUUCACUAAUUUAAUUAUAACUCGAGUUACAGAACUCAAAAUUUAAAUCCGUAAAUUUUCCCUGAAACUAGACUCAUAUUAAUACUCACCAUAAAAUUUUCAGAAUUUUUGACUUGGCCAAUUAGUACAGUUUAUUCAUUAAAGUAUCCCCUGUUUCACAGCUCGACAGAUCUGACCUCUCGGCACUAAAAAUAAAUUAUCUCUUUGUACAGAAUACAUAUAAGGUUAUCGUUUUUUUCUUUUGAAAAUAGACUCACUAAGAAAUCUACACAUAUAAAUUAUGACCCAUAAUUAUUUCUUUACAAUUUAUAAUGAUUUUCUAAAGUCAGAACAGGGGACUUCAAAAACCAUUCUGACCCUGUCUCACUAAAAUUCAAAUAUCUCAAAAUACAGAAUUCCUUUUCCUACAUCGUUUCUUUCAUAUAAAAAUAGACUUGAUAAGCUUUAAUUCCAUAUAUAAUUCACUCUCUAAUUCCAUUUCUACUAUUUAUGGUGAAUUUUUACAUUCACGUCACUGCUGCUGUCAAAGAAACUGCUUCUUUGAAUUAGUUACCAUUUACACAUACAUAAUACCAAAACAUAAUCUUUACUAACCAUUUCAAUAGCUAAUCUUAGCCAUAUCAUUUGAACAUGCUCAAGAUGAUUAAGACUCUAUACAUGCCAUAGUUCAAACAUUUUGAAAAGCACAUAAUACCGAGAUGGCUAUGAUAGUGUGAUACGAGCUCUGACGGUCCACUAUUCGAUCAAGUUCAAAUCACUAUAAAACAAAGGAAAGAAAGAGAUGUGUAAGCUAUAAAUAGCUUAGUAAGUUACAUGUAAACAAUAAUUACUCAUUUAAUAAUUAACACUUUUAACAUAUAACUAAUCAAAACAUUUCUUAGCAAUUUCAAUCACUUACACAUGCACAAUCUUACCAAUUCACUUGCAUAUACAUUUUCACACUUAACAUUUCAUAUUCACUUUAAUUCAUUAUUAAUCCCGUUGAACAGUUGGAAUAUACACGGAUACGUAGAGAUUUAGCACAUAAGUGCCACACUGAUAUGUAGCCGAAGCUACCACUGAUAUGUAGCCGAAGCUACCACUGAAAUGUAGCCGAAGCUACCACUGAUCAAUAACACUGGAAAUGUCCACGGGCCUGCUCACACAAGCUGUCAGGUGUCUGCAACACAUGCUAGAUCACCCAACACCCGGGACUCACUGUAACACUGUAACACUGGUCUCUAGUGACAUGUCACUUGUAUCCAAUUCUAUUCCUAAGUUCAACCGGGAAUUUACACUUAACACUUUAUUACUUGAAUAAUUCAUGAACAAUUUUCCUUCCACAUUCAAUAUUAAUUCACAUAUCAAAUAUAAUUCACAAUUUAUAAAAAUAUAACUAUUAUUUACACGUAACUUACCUCGGAUGCAAAACGACUAUUUUUGUAAUUUAGUCGAUAACUUUCUCUUUUCCCCGAUCACUUCCACUAUUUCUUCUUUCUUGAUCUAUAUUAACACAAUUUAAUACAUUUUAUCAACAUUUCAUUCAAAUACAAUUCAUACACAACAUUUUGGCAAAUUUACAUUUUUCCCCAAAACUUUUCAAAAAUUCCACUUUUGUCCCUAAGCUCGUAAAAAUCAAAUUCACUAAAUUUCUUAAAUUUCAAACUUCACUAAAUCAUAUUUCAUGCUCAUAACAGCCCUCAAUUUCACAAAAUCAUAACUUUAUGCACACUUUACCAUCUUUCACAAUUUAGCCCUUUUUCAACAAUUUCAUCAAAAUUCAUCUAGUAAAACUUGUAAUUAACACUUCAAUCAUUCAUUAUCUAACAUCACUAAUCAAUUUACAAUUAUAUCAUGAAUGGGUCAAUUUUCAAACUUUAAUUUCAUUUAAAUUAAAUAGUAGAAACAUGAAAUUCAAGCUUCAAUAAGCAUAAAAAUACGAAAAUAAUCAAAAACGGGGCAAGAAAUCACUUACAAUUGAGCUUAGGAAGUUCAAGAACCCUAGCUAUGGUGACAUGAAUUUUUUUGGCAGCAAACGUCUGAUUUUAAGAAGAUGAACACUUGUUUUCAUCUUUAUUUUGUCUUUUAUUCAAUUUGGACAAAAAUGCCCUUGACCCAUUACUUAGAUAUUUUUCUAGAAAUACCCUUUUGUGUCCAUAACACUAAUUCAUGGUCUAAUUGCCACAUAAACACUUCCAAUUUCAUGCAAUAAUUCAAUUAAGUCAUUUAAUCACUAAUUAGACACACUUUGCAUUUUUCUCGAUUUAGUCCUAAAAAUUCAAUUAGGCACUAAAUCAUUAAAAUUUUCUAUCCAUAUUUUCACACAAUAUUUCAAUCAAUCAAUAAUUAAUAAAAAUUUAUAAAAUUAAACUAUUUCACUUCGGAUUUGUGGUUACGAAACCACUAUUCCGAUUAGGCCCUAUUUCGGGCUAUCACAAUAGCAUCUAAAAUCAAUCCCUAAACAUGUAGUAUAUUGACAUAAAAUCAAUAUGCCCUCAGGCAUCUUAAUUGACCAAACAAUCAUGUUUAACCACAUAUACCAUGUAACCAAGUAAUCAACUAAUUUUUAUGUCUAAUCGCAUUUGUAGAAGCCCAAUUUCACCCGGGCCUAUUACAAACAAAUAAAACACAAAAUAACCCAUUUCCAACAGACCCAAACCCAUUACCAAAAUACCCAAACUAAACCCACCUAAACAGGCCCAAUAGCCUAACCUCGACCCAAACCCAAAAAAUUUUAGGGUUUCAGACCCCUAACUCUCCCUAGCCUAGCGCCGCAACCACCCUUGGUCUUCUGCUCACCUGCUCUGCCAGCAACCAUCGCCAACUGCCACUGUCAUCUCCAUCCACGUGCGCUGAUCCCUGCAAACAAAUCAAGGCAGACAUGACAAGCAUAGGAAAUAGACUAGAAAUCUCAUGUAAAUCGGCUAUAAAGCCAAGAAUAUGUAUUGUAAAAUGGCCCUAUCUCUUUUUCACGAUUUCAAGAAAUAAAAAGUAAAAAAAACAGAUUCAAGGACUCUUUGUUUUCGGUAUAAGAUCUAAUUCCUUUUUUUAUUUUUAUUUUUUUCUUCCUUUUGAAACUGUUUAUAUACAUACAUAUAUUUCUUUAGUUUUCUCUUUUAACUAUUAUACAUAUACAUUGAAAAAGAUUUACAAAAAGAAGAAGAAGAAAAAAGCGCACCUUUUCAACUUCCUGGCUAUUGCGGACGGCGGCGCCGUCGCCGGUGACAGGCGGCCUGCGCAACGGUGGUCGGCCGGAUCUCUGACCGGCAUCUGGAAAGGGGAGAGAGGGCUUGAGAGAAUUUUAGGUUUUUUUUAAAUAAAAGGCAGAAAAUGAAAUUUUUAAGAAAAAUUUGAUUUAUAUAGGCAUUCAAAACGGCACCGUUUUGGGCAUGCCUCUCUGGCACCAAAACGAUGCCGUUUUGCCUUUAAACCCGAUCCAAUCGACCCGACCCACUCCAAGAUCCGCGUGUUUUUUCUGUCAUGGGAUAUUUGCACCUUUGGCCCCUUCGCAUUUUCGAUUCGUUUCGAUUUUGUCCUUUUGGUUAUUUAUCUAUUUUAUAAAUUUGGCCCCGUUGUUUUGUCCGAUUUUUAAUCAGGUCCCUGACCUAUUUUCGCGCAGAAAAACGGACACGUGUCCAGAUUUUUUUUACCCAUUUGGUCCUUAGACUUUUGCGUUGUCCUUGUUUUAACCCUCAUUUAUUUAUUUUGUUGUAAUUUUACUCUUAAACUUCGUUUUAUUGUGAUUCGGUCCUUAAUUUACUAAUUUCUUUUAAUCCUACAUUUUGGUUAUUUAUUUAUUUGUUUUAAGGUUAUAUAUAUUAUUAUUUUAUAUAUUAUUAUCUAUGUUAAAUUGUUUAAUAUUAUUAAUUUCAAAUUGUCUCAUACAUUUUUAUAAUAUGUAUAUACACGUACAUACUUUUUAUUUAUUAAAUAUUUUUUUAUAUUCCAUAUUUUUAUACACACAUGUAUACGUAUAAAUAUCUAUGUUUUAAUUCAUAUACAUAUAUAUAUGUACAUAUACAUAUUUAUGUGUUUUAUGUAUAUAUUAUAAUUUGUUUACAUAUCUAUAUAUAUAUUUUUAUAUUUCAUGAUAGUUAUAUGUAUAUGUGCACAUGUUUACUUAUAUAUAUAUUUUAUAUAAUAAUUUUAGAAUACAUAUAUAUAUUUUUCAUGUUUUUAUAAAUUCAUGUGCAUACACCUGUUUUUACAACAUACAUACUUAUAAUUCAUAUAUUUUUUUGUAUUCUAUAAUCUACAUAUGUAUACAUGUAAAUACUUAUAUUUUUAUAUCUUAUAAUGCAUAUAUACAUCUUUUAUAUUUCCAUAAUUUCAUGUACAUACAUAUAUAUUUCCCUUAUAUGUACAUACGUGUCCAUAUUUUAUAAUUUUUAUCUAUAUUCCUUUAUUAUUUUUAUGUUCAUUUAUGUAUUUAUUUAUAUGUCCAUUUUUAUGCUUUAGUUUAUUUAUUUAUUUAUUUGCUAUGGUAUAUGCAUGAUCGAUUUAUUUUAUUAUUCGUUUUUUGUUCAUUUUUUUAUUCACAUUAUCAUGUUUAUUAUUCCAUUAUGCAUAUAAAUAUCAUAUUUCAAAAAAGGAAAUUUUUUCAAAUAAGGCAAUGUUUUGCGUUUGGAAAUUCGAGAAAACAUGCCCUAAGGUGUUGGGUGUCGAUUUUUCUCGUUCAACCAAAUGGUUAAAUAUCCUUUUAAAAUUUUUAAAAUAAGGCAAUAUUUUGCGUUUGGAAAUUCGAGAAAACGUACCCUAAGGUGCUGGGUGUCGAUUUUUCUCAUUCAACCAAAUGGCUUAAUAUCCUUUUAAAAAUUUCAAAAUAAGGCAAUGUUUUGCGUUUGGAAAUUCGAGAAACGUGCCCUAAUGUGCUGAGUUUCGAUUUCUCGUUUAACCAAAUUGCCAAAUAUCCUCUUGAAUUUUAAUCCAUGCCAUUCGAGUUUUUUUAAGGAUCGUAUUUUAAAUUUCUUUAAAGUUUUCAAUUUUUCGACAUUAAGACUUUAAGUAAUCAACUAGGUACCAAUUUUGGGCGUAUUGAGGGUGCUAAUCCUUCCUCGUGCGUAACUGACUCCCGAACCUGUUUUUCUGAAUUUCGUAGACCAAAAUCGUUGUAUUAAUAAAAUCAAAUCAUUUAUUAAAAACAACCACUUUUAGAAAUAUGUAAAAAAAUCAAAUCGUUGUAUUAUUAAUAUUUUUUUAUGUAAAAAAAUUCAUUUGUUGAAUAUAUAUUAAUAUAUUGAAUAUUUUAAAUCGAUAUGAUAAAGAUACCAGAUCGAUUUGAAAAUUUAUGCAUGACAAGUAUAAUUAUAUUGAUGAAUUCAACGAUUAAAUCAUUAAAAUAUUAAUCAUAUAAAUAAUUAUAGAAAUAUGUAAAAUUACUUUAAGUUUUACUGUUUAUAAGUAUAUCCCUCCCACGAUUAUAUAAAGCAUUAAAUAAAUUGACAAGGAAACAAGGAGAAAGGAAAUAAAACAAGUUGAAUAAUACAAGUCUUUUAAUGUCCUUUAAAGAUGCAAUAACCCCUCAAAGAAAACACUUGAUAGAAAAGUAUUAGAUUUAUUAUUUUGUAUCAAUCUCCCCAAGGAAAUUAAAACAACAAAGCUACAGAUGAAAACACUGAUUUAUUGCAAAUAUGAGAAAUUAUAACUUUCUAAUUAGUUUUUCUACCCACUUUCUUUUAUUGAUUUAUUGUCUUUUUCAUCUUAUUAAAAUCAAACACAAACACCAUAAGAAAGAUGAGAAAGAGGGUAGAGAACAUUAAUGAUGACUUAAUUAGCGCAUUGGAAGCCAGAAGGAACGCUGAUUGAGCAACGAUUGAGAACCAAAUUAAAGGAAAGUGGGACAUUAAUGUUGAUGCCUAAGACGUUAGCUCUAAUAGCAGAGCAAAGGCAUGUAGCAGCUUCGAUUUCGAUAAGGCCACGGAGAAGGGAACAACAUGGUGUCGCUUGGGGUAAGCCAAUGGUGGCAUUGACUACGCCAAGCAGAUUAGCACAUACAUCUAAUUUGAGGAUAUCAAUAGGGCAACUGCCUUGUGCAGAUGGAGAGGGGGCGAGGUUAGAGCCGGAGGAAGAGGAGGAUGGAAAAGUAGCACUGACUAGGGAAAAGAAGAGAAUGAUAAGUGCCAAAAGGAGGGUCAUGGAAGCUGAUCGUUUUGAAGCCAUUUUAAGCUGGCAAUUGGUUUCUUUGCUUUAGAGUUAAAAAGUAGAAGUGUUUGAGGAUGGAGAACUUGGAGGGAAGGAAUGGGGUUUUAUAAUGUUUCCAACAAGACUAGUGGGUUGUUUUUUAAAUGUUAGGUUAAUUGAUCAAAUUAUGAAAAAAAAAUGAAUUUAAUUUUUUCUCUUACCCAAUAUUCAACAUUUAUUGGUAAUAAUAUUACUUUGUUUAAUUUAAAUUUAGAUAAAUAUCCCCACUAUUCUAUUUUCUUGCAAAAUAUAAGGAUAAUAAUGACAACUGACGAACGGCUAAGUACAGGAAAAAUGGAUUGUAGAUUCAAAACAACAUAAUUAAUCUCUCAUCGUCAAACCUUUCUUGUUCUUCUUCUUCAGCCAUUACCCUCUAAAGAGAUUUAUUGAACUUCAUACACAUUAAACUCGUAAUGUAUUCAACUACCCAAUGCAGUAAUAAACUUGCUACAAUACGCUAAUGGAUCCAAAACCACAUUAAAUAAUGGUUUAUAUUUUAGAACAUUUAGGCUUGGCUUGUUUACAUGUAAAAGGUUUUACGAAAAAUAUUUUAUGCAGUUUUUCUGUGUUUAUUUUAUAGAAAAUAGCUUGAUAUACAUAAAAUGACUUACAAAUCACCGUAAAAUAAGCUUAUUUUUCCUCUGAAAUAACUUACCAUUUUUUUCAUUUCUUAAGGUAUCUAUUGGAGCAAACCCAAUAACUAAUUCUACACAUUUUAUAAGGGCCCAUUAAGUAGUAGAUGUUGGCCACAAGUUUUAAAGCUGCUCCAUACUCAGGGCGAGAAUUGAACAUUCAACUAUUGGUUAAAGUUGUACAGCCCAAAUUUACCCGGGCUCGCACCAAGGCCCAAAACCCAAAAUAACAAACCACCUAAACCCAAACCACUUAAACCCAAAACCCAAUUACAAAGCCCAAAAUUUAAAGCCCAACUACCCAAAUCAGAAAACAACCAAAAAAAAAAGGUAACCCUAACCCUAGGUGCGCCGCACCUAGGGUCAUCCACUUGCUUCUGCCGCUGCAUGCCCCAUCACCACCUGCACUGGUAGUCGUCGCCGCCACUGUCACGUCGGCCGCCACCAUCAAUUACCUGCAAACGCACAACAAAAGAGAACCAAGCAGAAAAACAAAAAAUAGGAAAAUUUUGUAACAUUGGCUAUAAAAGCCAAAUCUAAUGCUUGUAAAUGGGGGCUCUUUUUCUUUCCUUUUUGUAACAUUUUGACAGGAAUAAAAGCAAAAAAAUCAAAGGUGAUAUCGGGUGUCCCUUUAUUUUGUUGUUUCAACUCCUUUUUAUUUUAUUUUUGUUUAUUUAUUUGUAUAUAUAUAUAAUAAAGAAAAAAAGGGAAAGCUCACCGGGGAUAGGGCUUCGAACGCCGUUCUGGCGUUUCGUCGGCCGUUGGAGGUGGUGGCGGUGCGGCGAGCAGAGAGGCGGCACGACAGGGGCCUUAGAACCCCAAAAGUCAGGCUUAUUGAGAAAAAAAGAGGGUUUUUCAGAAAAAUUUUUUAAAAGGUGCGGCUGAAAUGGGUUUUUUGGGAAAAAUUUGGGUUUAAAUACCCUAAAUUAAACGGCACUGUUUUGACCUUAGGGGUCAGGUGCCAAAACGACGUUGUUUUGGCCCUGACCCGCUCGGUGACCUGACCCUAAGGGGAGGAUCCGCGUGUUUUCUUAAAAUGGGAUAUUUACGCGCGCAGUCCCUCUGACUUUUCAAAGCGUUGCAAUUUGGCCCUUUUUCGUUAUUUUCUUUUAUUUUAAUUUAGCCACAAUGUUUUAUUUUUGUUUCAAUUUGGUCUACUGAAGCCUUGCGUUUUGGGACUUUGGUUUAUUUACUGUUUUCGGUCCCCCUCUUUCGGCGUGUGUCACAAUUUAGUCCUUUUCGUCUUUUUAUUUCGAAUUCGCCCAGUAUUUUUGUUUUUACUUUGAUUUAGCCCUUUUUAGCAAUUUUAUUAUUUUGUUCAUUGCUUGCUUGUUGCUUCGGUCUUGAAGACAACAUCCCAUUAUUCAAAGCAGUUUUGUAAAUCGUGAGCUCCCCCUUGAGCUCUUCAAUUUCUUUCUUCAUGGCUAACACCAUAUCCUCAAGAUUAUUAUCCCUCUCUGCCAGCUAUUUCGUAGUGGAAUUGACUAAUUCAAUAAUCUUUUUCACAUUGCCACCGAAAGAAUCCAACAUAAAAUCUCUGAGUUGCUCUUCCAUUGAGUUAAUCUCAUCUGUGCGUUCCUCGACCAACUCAAGCAUCUCCUUCAUGUUCCCUACGAACUCCUCGAGAUUAACCACUCGAUUUUCUAAAGCUGUUAGUAUGUCCCUCGAAUGACUUAUUUUUCUGGCCCUUUUACGAGUCUACAUUGGCUCAUUCUGAUCAACAACUUCUUUCGACAUCCCAAUGGUGCAUUUGAACCAAUAGCUCGGAUACCACUUGUCACGGGGCUAGAUCUUUCUUCUCGUAAUUCAUGUGGCCUUAGCGAUCCGUUCUCUCCAAAAUCGCCUAAGUCAGCCUUUACUCCCAAAAGUGAGGAUUCCUUUAGAAUUCCUCUAAGGCACCAAUUUGUAUAGCAGAAGCGAUUGUGCUAAAAGAAGCUACAGAUGAACAAUAGAAAGCCAAAGAAAGAAUGCACACAAAGCGUUUGAGUAAAUGCUCAAAGAAUUCUAUUACUCUUAAGAAUUCAACAUACAAUGGAUGAUAUACAGAUGAUGGGGAGGCUCUCUAUUUAUAGUUGAGCUCCCCCAAAAUUGGCGGUUAAAAUCAAAUUACAUCGACGGACAAUAUUAGUCUAUCCCUUGAUUUUAGGGAUUUGCAAGAUUACAUUAUAUCAAAUUAAAUCUAUAAGAUAUGAUUCCCCUACUUACUAAAAAUAGCCUAAGUCGCCAUAUCUUCAUUAUCGGGCCAACCAGGCUUCUCUAAAAGUUCUUUGAAUCGGGCCAGUUCUCGUGGGCUAAAUGUUCCUCAUCUAAUCGAUAGACCUCUAUGGGGCGCAUCUUGUGCCAUGGUCACGGGCUUUGCACUUUGGCCCGUGACACUAGAAAGUGGUGAUUCCAAUAACUACUAUGCUUUAAAUAUUAGACUGGAAAAUUUUAUGUGUACUGUAUUUUAAAUGUUAGGUUGAAAUUGUUAAGCUAGAACUAAACUAGUACAGUUCUAUGCUAUAAAUGUUAGGUUGGAAAAUGUUAGGCAUCCUAUGUUUUAAAUGUAACACCCCUUACCCGUAUCCAACACCGGAAUAGGGUACGAGGCAUUACCAAAACACAUACACUUGUAAACGUAUUUAACCGAGUUAUAAAAUUUCAUCAAAAUUAAAACUUUCAAAAAUAAUUAACAUGUUUCUAUAACUUUUCACAAUAUAUCCUUAAAAUAUUAUAAUCAUAAUAAUUAGGGCCUGCGAGACCCGAUACAUACUCAUGCAAUUUAAUGCUUCAUUUCCAUUUCAUUCAAUUCGCAAUUUCUCAUGCUCAUAAUUUAAAUCAUAUCACUAGAAAUUUCCAUUUAAUUCACGUACAAUUCAAUGACAUCAAAUUCAAAACUAAUACGUAUUUACCAUUUAACUCAAUGUUUAUUGAUUAUACCAUUCAAUAACACAUUUAUGAAAUUCUCAAUUUAGCAAUGAAAAUAUCACUUUAGUUUGAAUAACAACAUCGUCCUGAUAUAAAUACACUACCACUUAUCCAUUUACUUUAAUUCUUUUGGGCCCAUUUGUCACUUACCAUCUUUAAUCAAAUUAGGGAACGGUCACGGAAAAUUGAGUACUUCACUUUCACUUUGCCAUAGUAUAACUAUGGUCUUACGUAUGAUCACUUAUCACUUGUCCCUGAUCAGAUAAGUGUAGCCACCUAUCACUUUGUUUCUUGAUCAGAUAAGUGUAGCCACUUAUCACUUUGUUUCUUGAUCAGAUAAGUGUAGCCACUUAUCACUUUGUCUCUUGAUCAGAUAAGUGUAGCUAAAGCUAUCACUUAUCACUUUGUCUCUUGAUCAGAUAAGUAUAGCCGAAGCUAUCACUUAUCACUUUUCACUUGUCACUUGAUCAGAUAAGUGUAGCCGAAGCUAUCACUUAUCACUUUCCACUUGUCACUUGAUCAGAUAAGUGUAGCUGAAGCUAUCACUUAUCACUUUGUCACUUGAUCAGAUAAGUAUAGCCGAAGCUAUCACUUAUCACUUUAUCACUUGAUCAGAAGUACUCAAAUCCGGCGUUCUGCUCAAUUUGAUCAUUUAUUCAUAUAUCAGGCUUACCAACAUGUGUUAAUUCAUAAACCAUUCAUGGUAUUAUUUCAUGCCAAAUCAUAUACUGAAUAUACCAUACACACAUACUAUGAAACUUUAUUUUCACACAUGAGCUUAAACCAUGACCAAUAAUGCACAAAAAUAAGCAUCAUUCAUAUUUCAUCGUUUAUGAGUUAUAAUCAAACAUAUGACCAUUUAUACACGAAUCAUUCAUAUAUUUCCCAAUUUUCCUCCUCCUCCUCUCCAUUCCACAUCCUUAAUGUGUAUAACACACUUAAACAACAUUAACCAUAAUUUCAAUAUUCACUAACAUGUAUAUUCAAAGCUGUUUAUCCGAGUCAGAGUCACUAAAUUAUUUUUAUCCGGAGCUACAGAGCUCCAAAUUAAGAUCCGUUAAUUUUCCCUGAAACUAGACUCACAUAUCUUCAUACCAUAAAAUUUUCAUAAUUUUUUGUUCAGCCAAAUAGUACAGUUUAUUCUUUAAAGUUUCCCCUGUUUCGCUGUCUGACAGUUCCGACCACUCUUCACUAAAAAUUAAUUAUCUCAUUGUACAGAAUUUGGAUGAUGUUUCAGCUUGUUUCUUCUAAAAAUAGACUCAUUAAGGAUUCUAACCAUAUAAACUAUAACUCAUAAUAAUUUCUGUACAAUUUUUAAUGAUUUUCCAAAGUCAGAACAGGGGAACCCGAAUUCAUUCUGACAUUGUCUCACAAAAUCUAUUAUAUCUCAUGAUUUACAAUUCCAUUACUCACAUCAUUUCUUUUAUAAGAAACUAGACUCAAUAAGCUUUAAUUUCAUAUUUUAUUCAUCCUCUAAUUCAAUCUCUACAAUUUUUUGUGAUUUUUCAAAGUUACACUACUGCUGCUGUCCAAAACUGCUUUAGUGCAAAAUGUUGAUUUCCAUUUUGCCCCAAAUUUCACAGUUUAUACAAUUCGGUCCUUUCUCAAUUAACCCCUCAAUUAAUCUAAUUUUCUCAAUUAGUACUUUACUAGACAUUAUAAGUUGUUACACAACUAUUGAAAUGUCAGAAUUUCCACAUAUAACUCUAUCUUCAAACUCUUUUACUAUUAGGUCCCAAACAUUCACUUUCUAUUCAAUUCUUUCAAUAAAAUCAGCAUAUGAACAAUUUAAAGCUCUAAUUUCAUGCUAAAUCAUCAUAUACUUCCAGCACAUAUUCAUAUCAACUUUCAACUUCUUUCAUAAAAUCAAAAACUAAUGAAUUUAACAAGUGGGCCUAGUUGUAAAAGUCAUAAAAAUACAAAAAUUUCAAGAAAUAGUCAAGAAUUGAACUUACUUGUAAUAAAAAUAUGAAGAACCAGCUUGAAGAAGCCCUUCCAUGGUGUUUUAGCUGAUGAGAAUUCAGAAAAAUGAAGAGAAAUCUAGAUAAUUCCACUUGGGUCCUAACUUUAUUAAGCAAAUUUUGCAAUUUUCCAAUUUUGCCCUUAAUUCUCCUUACUUUCUUGCUGAUUUCAUGCCUCUGCCGUCCAGCCCAAAUAGACCUUGGGUCUAUUUGCUUUUUAAGCCCUCUUCCUUUUAUCAUUUAAGCUAUUUAAUCAUUUCCCAAAAUUUUGCAUUUGUUACAAUUUAGUCUUUUUUGUUCAAUUAAUUAUCGGAACUUUAAAAUUUCUUAACGAAACUUUAAUACUAACUUUUUAACACUCCAUAAAUAUUUAUAAAAAUAUUUAUGGCUCAGUUUAAAAUCCCCGAGGUCUUGAUACCUCAUUUCGAUUCUAAUUAUUUUAAUAUUUAUUUCUAGUGCACUAUUCACUAUUUCAAAAAUUUUCCUAACUUCAUAUUUAACUUAUACUUACUAAAUUAAUAAUAUUUUCUACCCAUUUGUCGAAUUUAGUGAUCUCGAAUCACCGUUCCGACACCUCUGAAAAUUCAAGCCAUUACAUUUUUUUUCGUCGGAUUUGUGGUCCCGAAACCACUGUUCCGACUAAGCCUAAAAUCGGGCUAUUACAUUAAAUGUUAGGUUGAAUUGUUAGUCUAGAAGUAGAGGUGAGCGAUCGACCGAAUCGAAUCAAAUUGAAUGAAAAAUUUCGAAUUAAUCGAAUUAACAAAUCUUAUUUUGUCAUCUUAACUCAAUUUGAAAUUUUCUCAAAUCGAGUCAAGUGAGAUGAAAUUCAAAUCAAAUCGAAUAUAUUUGUUCAAGUUAAAUUAAAAAAUGUGAAAUUGAUACCAACAAAAAAGUUUAACACGAAUAUUUUAUAGCAUCAUCAAUAAAUUAAUUUUAACAAAAAUUGAUAAAGAUUCAGCAUGAUUAAACAAUUUAAUAAUAUAAAUAGUAAAAAUGUGAAAUUUAAUUUAAUAAUAUAAAUAGUAGACAUAAAAAUUUUUUUUUAAAAGUUUUUGGGUGUUUAGGAAAAAGUAAAAAUUUAAGAGGAAAAGCAAAAGGAAAAAAAGUUUAUGGGGUUUGGAGGAAGUAAAAGUUUUGGGGAAAAAAUAAAAGGAAAAAUGUGUGGGGGUAGGGGUGAGCAAAACUCGAUUCGAUUCGAAAAAAUCGAAAAAAAAUUUGAAUUUCGAGUUAAACGAAUCGAGUUAUUCGAGUUAAUCGAGUUAUUCGAAUCAACUUGAAUUUUUUUUUCGAAUUUCGAGUUCGAAUCGAGUUUGAGUUUUCGAAUUCGAAUAACUCGAAUAAUCGAAUAAAUUCGAAUAUCAAACUAUAAUAUUGACAGUUUUACCCUAAACUCCCAACCUUUUUACUUUUCCCUCAAAACUUUUACUCCUUCCUACUUUCCCCCAAAACUUUUACUCCCCUCCCCUCCCAACCCCCCAAUCUACCCAAAAUCUAUUUCCCAUCAAAAUUUUACUCCUAAAAACCCUCAAAACCUUUUAGGUUCUCCCAAAUUUUUACUCCUUCCCACUUUUCCCCUAAAACUUUUAUUCCCUUCCCGUCCCACCUCCCACCUCCCACCCUACCCCAAACCCUCCCCCUCCAAUUUUUUUUUAAUAUUUUCCCUCCAAAAUUUUACUCCCCCUAUUUACUUUCCCUCAAACUUUUAUUCCUCAAAACUUUUUAUUUUCCCCCUAAAUUUUUACUUAUCACCCUUUACUCUCAAAUAAAAAAUCAAAAUUAUCCAAAAAAAAUCACUAAACAUAAAUAGUAAUAAUUUUAUUUAUAUUUACUAUUUAUAUUAUUAAAUUAAAUUUCACAUUUUAUAUUAUUUAUAUUAUUGAAUUGUUUAGUCAUAUUGAAUAUUUAUAUUAAAAUUGAAUUAUUAAUUAUGCCACAAAAUAUUCGUGUUAAAAUUUUAUAUUAGUAUCAAUUUCACAUUUUAUUUUUAAAAUAAAUUUUAUUAAAAAAUCAUAUUUUUACAUUUAAUAUAUUUUUUAAUUCCAAAAUACAUAGUGACAAGAAUCUUAAGAUAAUUGAAACAACUAAGCAAGCAAAGAAGCUAACCAGUAUAUAAAAAAUUAAUAAAUAAAUUAUGAGGUGAUGAAAGUUAAUAAAAAAAUUGAUUAAGGUAGACAAAUUUUAUUACGAUGGGUGACAAUGGUUAUAAGGACCCAAAAUUAUUUUUUAAAAUUUAACUCGAACAAAUAUAUUCGAUUCGAUUCGAUUCGAAUUCCAUCUCACUCGACUCGAUUAGAGAAAACUUCAAAUAAAGUUAGGAUGAUAAAAUGAGAUUCGAAAACUCGAUUAACUCGAAAAUUUUUGAUUCGAUUCGAUCGAAUGCUCACCCCUAGUUGGGGGUUUGAGGAAAAGUAAAUUUUUUGGGAGAAAGUAAAAGGGUUUGAGGGGGGUUGGGAGAAAGGAAGUAAAAGGAUUUAGUAUUUGGUUUAUUCGAGUUAUUCGAAUUCGAAAAAUUAACUUCAUUCAAACUCGAAAUUAAAAAAAAAAUCAAGUUGAUUUGAUUAACUCAAUUGGAAUAAUUCAAAAUUUAAUUUUUUAUUUUAUUUUUUGAGUCAAAUAGAAUUUUGCUCGUCCCUAACUAGAACUAUACCAAAACAAUCACCCUAAAAUUAAAAAUUUAUUUGUUACCCUUUAAAAGGUAUAAAAUUAUAAACUAAUAAUAGUAAAAAAAAUAGUCUUUUAAGAAAUUUAUAAAGAUGUUUUAAAUGUUAGGCCAGAACUGUUAGGUUAGAACUGUAGUAAGUUUGUUUUAGAAUUGAAAUUAACGAUGCGUUAAUGCAUUAAGUUUGCAUUCAAUGAUAAUAAAUUUAUGACCUUUUCGAAACUGUACUUAAUCUCCUUUUCAUAGCGUAUAUAUAUAUAUAUAUAUAAUAUUAUGUAUGCUUUUUACAUUGUUUAUUAAGGUUUAUUACCUUUUUGAAACGGCAGUUAGUUAUGUUUUCGUACUGUAUUUAUGUUAUUUUACAACCUUUAUAAUAUCAUAAAUGAAUAUUAAAAAAUCAAGAAUUCAUAUAUAUAUAUAUAUAUGAAAUUAUUUAUAAUAAUUUUAUUUGUCCAAUAUUAUAGAUCUUAAACUUUAUUUUAAAUUAUUAAAUGAGUAUAUUUUAAAAGAUAUAUACAAAAAAACACAUGCAACUUAGGAGAUAAAAACUAAUAAUAAAUAUAUAUAAGUAGGAACGUAAGCAUAGAGUUAUCUAAGGGUGGGGCUACCCUUUAAGCCCGAAGGCCUGCUCAAAAUAUGGGAGGGUUUAUAUAAGAAUACAAAAUCUGAAAAAUGGACUUUGACACAAGUUUAAACCUAUUUUUUUAUUCAAGUCAAGCUUUAGAUAGAAUCUUUUAAGCCCGAACCUGACCUAACCCUAAUACUAUAUGAAAUAUAAAUAUACUAUUUAUAUUUAUAAAAUAUAAAUAUAUAAUUUAACCCUAAACUCAAAAUCCUUCAACUAAAUCCAAUUCUCAUUCAAUAAAACUCAAACCCAAGCUAAUUCUAAACCCUACUUCGUACCCAACCUAAUAGAAGUCUAUUUUCAAUUCAUUUUUGCCGUCAAACAUAUCUCGUAAGGCUAAGGAAAAAAAAUCAAUAAACCGGUUUGAACCGAUGUAUUCGGUUUGGUUCGAUUUGGGUUGAUAUUAUCACUCGAAUCUUACAACUUAGUUUAGAUUCGGAUUUUUUUCACAUAAAACUUAUUUUAUCCGAAUUAAAUCUAAUGAAAAAAAUUAUAUAUAAAAGAAUAGUCCGAAUAGAAUAAUAAAUUGAUCAUUUCAAUGUCUAUAUAGACUAAUUCAUUUAACCCUAUUAUUAUUAUUAUUAUUAUUAUUAUUAAAACUAGAUGUGAUUAUACAAAAAAUUAAAGUUACAAAAAUAUUUCAUAAAAAAAAAUUAUGACAGUAUACUUUUGUAUUAGAGUAAGUGAAUCAUUUCUUAAAUAUAAUAAUUAUAAGUAUAAGAAAAUAGUUUAUUAAACUUUAUAAUAUUUGAUUAAUAAAAAAUUUAUUCACAACUUGUCAAUUAUAAAUAUUUGAUAGUUAUAAAUUUAUGACAUAUUGUAAUGACUCAGUUAUAACUAAUUAAAAGAAAUGACGCAAUGGACAUUUCGUAUAUGAAUGAUUUAUAUAUUAAUUCUUCUUUUAACAACUUUAAAUAAUAUAUCAACUUAAUAAUUUAACUUAAAAUAAAUUUUUAAAUCAUCCAUAAAUCAAGAAUUAUAUAAGAUUUUUGGUACCAAUGCGAUAUUUCUUUUAGUUUUUUUGGCAAAUUGACAGCAGUAUAUAUCAUUAUUGCAUAUUUUCCAUAAAUUAUCCUCUCUCUUUUUAAUUAUGAUGUUUUUAGUUUUUUUAGUAUGAUUAACAUCUUCCAAAGAUGUCAAAUUUGAGACAGACAAACAACAAGUGUUUUUUAAAUGAUGGUUUCGAUUAUGAAAGAGAAUGCUGUGGAAGAAAAAUGUUUUUUAUUUAAAUGAACUGCAGAGAGCAAAAUAAUAUUUUAAUAUUUUCUCAAAUAAGAUUCUUUAUUUUUACUCUUUUAAAAAUUUUUAAAAACAACUUAUGUAGUUAUUACAUCAAUUCAAAUCUGUUCAUGGGUCGGACCACCCGUUCAAGCUUAAAGGCUCACCAAAAAAAUAUGAAGGUUUAAACAAAAAUACAGUGCUUAAAAAAUGGGGUUGAGUCAAAUUUAAGACCCAUUUCUAUAUGGGCAAGAUUUUUUGGCUUAUGCUUGGCCCGACCCGAAUAUAUUAUGUUAUAAAAAUAAUUAUAUUAAUUAUACAUGCUAAAUAAUAAUUAUAUGUAUUUAUAUUUAUAUUUAAUCACUAACCCAAUAACAAUUAAACCCAUUACUCAAAACCUAAAAAAAAAAUUACCCAAUUAAAUAACCCAACCGAAAAUAUAAAAUUUUUAAAAUUAUAUUUAUUUGUGUUUUUAAUAUAAUAAAAUAUUAAUUAUAUUUAUGGCAGUGUUUAUUAAUAUAAAUAUUUUUUAAUGUGUUAAAAAAACUUUUUGUUUUAGUGUUUUUUUAUGUAUUUAGUGCAUUACAUUAUUUAAAAAGUUUAUUUUAAAAUAAAAACUAAUGUAAAAAAAUUAAACAUGAGCAAUUGGGUCGGACUUGAAUAAAAAAAUAAGUUUAUUUUUUGGAUUAGACUAAAGUCAUAUUUAAAAAAUUAAUCUAAACCCAUCUCGAAUUCAAUCCGUCUCAUAAGUACACCUCUCCAUCAGUCCCAAUAAUUAACCAUUAAUUGUAAAAUGACAUUAUGGAAUAACAUUUGCAUACCCAUACGAUUGUCCAUUUAAUAUAAUUUUAGUAUAAAGUUUUCACCUAUUAAUUGAUGAAUAAUUUGUAUGUUAAGUUUAUUGUUUUAAUGAAUAAAAUGGUAUAAUAAAUUACGUUAAAUAUAUUUAAUAUACUAAAUUAUAUGAUUUAUUUUAUCGCCGAGAUAUGAUUAUGUAUUAAUAAAAAAUUAUUUUCACAGGUAUUUAUAAUAUAAUUUUGAAACAAUCUCGUUAUAGAUUCUGAUCAUGACUGUUCUCUUUUAAGAUAAUGCCUAAACUUCAACACACUCAAACUCACGUCCUCCUGCAUAGACAACAAUACCCGUGCCAAUCGAGUUAAAACUCAAUCCACAAUUUAAAAAAAAAAAAAAACUUGAACAUAUAACUAUCAGUCUCCAAAUUUAAAUCAAAUUUGAAUUUUAUAUACCUACUAAUUUUUUCUUUUAAAAAAUGAAUUGCUCAAAAUAAAUAAAAAAUAGAUUUAAUUUCAUAAAUACAUUUUCACAUCAACACUAAACAUUAUUUUUUAUUCACAUAAAUACAAUUAAUAUAAAUGGAAUAAUUUAUCUAUUUUUAAAUAUAAAAAAUAACCAACGUUAAUGUAUUGAAUUGGGUGGAAAUGGAAAUGUUAACAGAAAGUGGAAGGAAUGAUUGCCUUUUGGUGCAGUAAUGUCUUUUUUUAGUUUCAAAUGCUUACAUCUGAUUCAACAAAUCCUGAGUCACGGACUCAGAAAAUGUGCUUUCUAUUUUUUAAUGAGUUUCCAUUUCGGAUUUGAAAAUUAUAAGAAUGAAGGAGAUAUUUUGCGGGAUGAAAAUAAAAUAAAAAAUUCCCAACUUUACUUAUUUAUAAUUAGAUAUAAAAUUCAUUGCCAUAAUUAGCUGUAGACAUCAUAUAAAUAAUUUGACGAGGAAUCAAGAAGAACGGAUUGAAUAAUACAAGCUUUUUCAUGUCCUUUAGAGAUAUAAUAAACACUCAAAGAAAAACACUUUGAAGAAAAAUAUUAUUCUGUAUCAAUUCUCCCAAGGAAAUUAAAGCAACAAUGAUACAAACUAAAACAAUGGAGUUAUGACAUCAUAACUUUAUAAAAAAACCAAACACACAAACACCAUAAGGAAGUUGAGAAAGAAUGGAGGGAAAAGUGAUGACUUCAUUAGCAUUGGAACCCAGUUGGAACAUUCCUUGAACAAACGUUGAGGAGCAAGCUAAGAGAAACAGGGAUAUUAAGGUUGAUGCCUAAGAUGUUAGCUCUAAUAGCAGUGCAAAGGCAAGCAGCAGCUUCGAGGUCGACAAGGCCAUUGAGAAGGGAACAGCAUGGCAUCACUGGAGGUGAACCAACGGUGACAUUGACUAAGUUAAGCACAUUGGCACAUACACCUAAUUUGAGGGCAUCUCUAGGGCACCUGCCUCGUGCGGAUGGAGUAGGGGUGGGGGUGUUGGGGUUUGGGUUUGGCCUUGGUUUAGGGGUGGGUGAAGAG